rnacentral:rRNA from 1 species
AUAAACGCUGACAGAAUGCUUAACACAUGCAAGUCUUUGGCGAAGCUGUGCUCGCACAGCCUAGCCAAGGCGGACGGGUGAGUAACGCGUAAGGAACUUGCCCUGCAGUCAGGGAUAACAGACGGAAACGACUGAUAAGACCUGGUAAAGUCAGGCGGACUCAUGUCCAGCCUGAUGAAAAGAGAUGCUGCAGGAGAGCCUUGCGUCCUAUUAGCUUGUUGGUGGGGUAACGGCCCACCAAGGCGAUGAUAGGUAGCCGGCCUGAGAGGGUGGACGGCCACAAGGGGACUGAGAUACGGCCCUUACUCCUACGGGAGGCAGCAGUGGGGAAUAUUGGACAAUGGGGGCAACCCUGAUCCAGCAAUUCUGCGUGCACGAUGAAGGUUUUCGGAUUGUAAAGUGCUUUCAGCAGGGAAGAAAAAAAUGACGGUACCUGCAGAAGAAGCGACGGCUAAAUACGUG